rnacentral:rRNA from 1 species
UACGAAGGGUGCAAACGUUGCUCGGAAUUAUUGGGCGUAAAGCGCCCGUAGGCGGCAUUGUAAGUCGGAUGUGAAAUCCCUCGGCUUAACCAAGGAAGUGCAUCCGAAACUGCAGUGCUUGAGUACUUAAGAGGAUCGCGGAAUUCCCGGUGUAGAGGUGAAAUUCGUAGAUAUCGGGAGGAACACCAGUGGCGAAGGCGGCGAUCUGGGAAGAUACUGACGCUGAGGUGCGAAAGCGUGGGGAGCAAACAGG